rnacentral:rRNA from 1 species
UACAGAGGUCUCGAGCGUUCAACGGAUUCAUUGGGCUUAAAGCGUACGUAGGCGGGCGUGCAGGCGUCGUGUGAAAUCCCUCGGCUCAACCGGGGAAUGGCACGGCGAACCGCACGUCUUGAGACAAGUAGGGGCGGUCGGAACGAUAGGAGGAGUGGUGAAAUGCGUUGAUAUCUAUCGGAACGCCGAAGGUGGAAACAGGCCGCUGGGCUUGGUCUGACGCUGAGGUACGAAAGCGUGGGGAGCGAACGGG